rnacentral:rRNA from 1 species
AAAUUGAAGAGUUUGAUCAUGGCUCAGAUUGAACGCUGGCGGCAGGCCUAACACAUGCAAGUCGAACGGUAACAGGAAGAAGCUUGCUUCUUUGCUGACGAGUGGCGGACGGGUGAGUAAUGUCUGGGAAACUGCCUGAUGGAGGGGGAUAACUACUGGAAACGGUAGCUAAUACCGCAUAACGUCGCAAGACCAAAGAGGGGGACCUUCGGGCCUCUUGCCAUCGGAUGUGCCCAGAUGGGAUUAGCUAGUAGGUGGGGUAACGGCUCACCUAGGCGACGAUCCCUAGCUGGUCUGAGAGGAUGACCAGCCACACUGGAACUGAGACACGGUCCAGACUCCUACGGGAGGCAGCAGUGGGGAAUAUUGCACAAUGGGCGCAAGCCUGAUGCAGCCAUGCCGCGUGUAUGAAGAAGGCCUUCGGGUUGUAAAGUACUUUCAGCGGGGAGGAAGGGAGUAAAGUUAAUACCUUUGCUCAUUGACGUUACCCGCAGAAGAAGCACCGGCUAACUCCGUGCCAGCAGCCGCGGUAAUACGGAGGGUGCAAGCGUUAAUCGGAAUUACUGGGCGUAAAGCGCACGCAGGCGGUUUGUUAAGUCAGAUGUGAAAUCCCCGGGCUCAACCUGGGAACUGCAUCUGAUACUGGCAAGCUUGAGUCUCGUAGAGGGGGGUAGAAUUCCAGGUGUAGCGGUGAAAUGCGUAGAGAUCUGGAGGAAUACCGGUGGCGAAG